AUCUAUACGGUGAAACUGCGAAUGGCUCAUUAAAUCAGUUAUCGUUUAUUUGAUAGUACCUUACUACUUGGAUAACCGUGGUAAUUCUAGAGCUAAUACAUGCUAAAAACCCCGACUUCGGAAGGGGUGUAUUUAUUAGAUAAAAAACCAAUGCCCUUCGGGGCUCCUUGGUGAUUCAUAAUAACUUAACGAAUCGCAUAGCCUUGUGCUGGCGAUGGUUCAUUCAAAUUUCUGCCCUAUCAACUUUCGAUUGUAUGGUAUUGGCUUACAAUGGUUUCAACGGGUAACGGGGAAUUAGGGUUCUAUUCCGGAGAGGGAGCCUGAGAAACGGCUACCACAUCCAAGGAAGGCAGCAGGCGCGCAAAUUACCCAAUCCCGACACGGGGAGGUAGUGACAAUAAAUACUGAUACAGGGCUCUUUUGGGUCUUGUAAUUGGAAUGAGUACAAUUUAAAUCCCUUAACGAGGAACAAUUGGAGGGCAAGUCUGGUGCCAGCAGCCGCGGUAAUUCCAGCUCCAAUAGCGUAUAUUAAAGUUGUUGCAGUUAAAAAGCUCGUAGUUGAACCUUGGGUUUGGUUGGUCGGUCCGCCUCACCGCGUGCACUGAUCCGACCGAAUCUUUCCUUCUGGGGAACCGUAUGCUCUUCAUUGGGUGUACUGGGGAACCAGGACUUUUACUUUGAAAAAAUUAGAGUGUUCAAAGCAGGCCUAUGCUCGAAUACAUUAGCAUGGAAUAAUAGAAUAGGACGUGUGGUUCUAUUUUGUUGGUUUCUAGGACCGCCGUAAUGAUUAAUAGGGAUAGUCGGGGGCAUCAGUAUUCAAUUGUCAGAGGUGAAAUUCUUGGAUUUAUUGAAGACUAACUACUGCGAAAGCAUUUGCCAAGGAUGUUUUCAUUAAUCAGUGAACGAAAGUUAGGGGAUCGAAGACGAUCAGAUACCGUCGUAGUCUUAACCAUAAACUAUGCCGACUAGGGAUCGGGCGGUGUUAUCUUUUUGACCCGCUCGGCACCUUACGAGAAAUCAAAGUC
rnacentral:rRNA from 1 species